rnacentral:rRNA from 1 species
GACAUGGGCGCAGCCUGAUCCAGCCAUGCCGCGUGUGUGAUGAAGGCCUUAGGGUCGUAAAGCACUUUCGCCAGAGAUGAUAAUGACAGUAUCUGGUAAAGAAACCCCGGCUAACUCCGUGCCAGCAGCCGCGGUAAUACGGAGGGGGUUAGCGUUGUUCGGAAUUACUGGGCGUAAAGCGCACGUAGGCGGAUUAGUAAGUUAGAGGUGAAAUCCCAGGGCUCAACCCUGGAACUGCCUUUAAUACUGCUAGUCUUGAGUUCGAGAGAGGUAAGUGGAAUUCCGAGUGUAGAGGUGAAAUUCGUAGAUAUUCGGAGGAACACCAGUGGCGAAGGCGGCUUACUGGCUCGAUACUGACGCUGAGGUGCGAAAGUGUGGGGAGCAAACAGGAUUAGAUACCCUGGUAGUCCACACCGUAAACGAUGAAUGCCAGACGUCAGCAAGUAUACUUGUUGGUGUCACACCUAACGGAUUAAGCAUUCCGCCUGGGGAGUAC